AUUGAACGCUGGCGGCAGGCCUAACACAUGCAAGUCGAACGAGUGGCGGACGGGUGAGUAAUGUCUGGGAAACUGCCCGAUGGAGGGGGCUAACUACUGGAAACGGUAGCUAAUACCGCAUACCAUCGGAUGUGCCCAGAUGGGAUUAGCUUGUAGGUGGGGUAACGGCUCACCUAGGCGACGAUCCCUAGCUGGUUUGAGAGGAUGACCAGCAACACUGGAACUGAGACACGGUCCAGACUCCGACGGGAAGCAGCAGUGGGGAAUAUUGCACAAGGGGCGCAAGCCUGAUGCAGCCAUGCCGCUUGUAUGAAGAAGGCCUUCAGGUUGUAAAGUACUUUCAGAGAGGAGGCGUUACGCGCAGAAGAAGCACCGGCUAACUCCGUGCCAGCCGCCGCGGUAAUAC
rnacentral:rRNA from 1 species